UACGUAGGUGGCAAGCGUUGUCCGGAUUUAUUGGGUUUAAAGGGUGCGUAGGCGGCCCUGUAAGUCAGUGCUGAAAUAUCCCGGCUUAACCGGGAGGGUGGCAUUGAUACUGCGGGGCUAGAGUACAGAUGAGGUAGGCGGAAUUGACGGUGUAGCGGUGAAAUGCUUAGAUAUCUGGAGGAAUACCGGUGGCGAAGGCGGCAUCCUGGACCGACAUUGACGCUGAUGAGCGAAAGCUAGGGGAGCAAACGGG
rnacentral:rRNA from 1 species